rfam:Marivirga sericea strain DSM 4125 genome assembly, contig: LX91DRAFT_scaffold00024.24
GAGAAAGUAAAUAAGGGCGUAUGGCGGAUGCCUUGGCUCUCAGAGGCGAAGAAGGACGUGAUAAGCUGCGAUAAGCUACGGGGAUUGGCACAUACAAAUUGAUCCGUAGAUUUCCGAAUGGGACAACCCAGUACAUUGAAGAUGUAUUAUAUCUAAUUUAUUAGGUAGGCUAACCCGGAGAACUGAAACAUCUAAGUACCCGGAGGAAGAGAAAACAAUAGUGAUUCCGCAAGUAGUGGCGAGCGAACGCGGAAAAGCCCAAACCACAUCAGUUAAGGCUAGUGUGGGGUUGUAGGACUGCAACGUGGACUUAUACAAUGAACAUGAAUCGGUUGGGAAACCGAGCCAUAGAGGGUGAGAGCCCCGUAAAGGAAAGUUGUAUAUACCUAGCAGUAUCCUGAGUAAGGCGGGACCGGAGAAAUCCCGUUUGAAUCUACCGGCACCAUCCGGUAAGGCUAAAUACUACUGAGAGACCGAUAGCGAACAAGUACUGUGAAGGAAAGGUGAAAAGUACCGUGAAUAACGGGGUGAAAUAGAACCUGAAACCAUACGCUUACAAGCGGUCGGAGCAACUUUGUGUUGUGACGGCGUGCCUUUUGCAUAAUGAGCCUACGAGUUACUUUUCUUGGCAAGGUUAACCCCGUUGACGGGGGGAGCCGAAGCGAAAGCGAGUCUGAAUAGGGCGAUAUAGUCAGGGGAAGUAGACGCGAAACCUUGUGAUCUACCCAUGGUCAGGGUGAAGUUCCGGUAACACGGAAUGGAGGCCCGAACCAGUUGACGUUGAAAAGUCUUUGGAUGAACUGUGGGUAGGGGUGAAAGGCCAAUCAAACUGGGAAAUAGCUCGUACUCCCCGAAAUGUUUUUAGGAACAGCCUCGGGAGAUGUUUGAUAGAGGUAGAGCUACCAAUAGGACUAGGGGGAGUCAAAUCCUACCAAAUCCUGAUGAACUCCGAAUGCUAUCAAAUUAUCCCGGGAGUGAGGGCAAGGGUGCUAAGGUCCUUGUCCGAGAGGGAAAGAACCCGGACCAUCAGCUAAGGUCCCCAAUUGUAUAUUAAGUUGAACUAAGGCGGUUCAGUUGCUUAGACAGCCAGGAUGUUGGCUUGGAAGCAGCCAUUCAUUUAAAGAGUGCGUAACAGCUCACUGGUCGAGCGACAGAGCAUCGAUAAUGAUCGGGCAUCAAAUAUACAACCGAAGCUAUGGUCUUGUCAGCAAUGACGAGAGGUAGGGGAGCAUUCCAUUUGCGGUGAAUGUGUGGCGUCAGCCAUGCUGGAGCGGAUGGAAAAGCAAAUGUAGGCAUAAGUAACGAUAAUGCUAGUGAGAAACUAGCACACCAAUAGACUAAGGUUUCCUCAGCAAUGCUAAUCAGCUGAGGGUUAGUCAGGGCCUAAGGCGAACCCGAGAGGGGUAGUCGAUGGACAACAGAUUAAUAUUUCUGUACUACCUUAUAGAGUGAUGGGGUGACGGAGUAGUGAAAGUCCCGCGUACUGACGGAAUAGUACGUUGAAGGGUGUAGGUAAUGGUUGUGUAGGUAAAUCCGCACGACUAGCUGAACCUGAUAGUACCACAACGCUUCGGCAGCGUGGAUAGCGGACCUAAUCAGACUUCCAAGAAAACCCUCUAAACAUAUGUAUAAGGUACCUGUACCGCAAACCGACACAGGUAGUCAAGGAGAGAAUCCUAAGGUGCUCGAGUGAUCCGUGGCUAAGGAACUAGGCAAAAUGGCCCUGUAACUUCGGGAGAAGGGGCGCCUCGUUAGUGAUAACGAGGCCGCAGUGAAGAGGCCCAGGCGACUGUUUAACAAAAACACAUGGCUUUGCGAAAUCGAAAGAUGAAGUAUAAGGCCUGACACCUGCCCGGUGCUGGAAGGUUAAGGGGGGACGUUAGCAGCAAUGCGAAGCGUUGAACUGAAGCCCCAGUAAACGGCGGCCGUAACUAUAACGGUCCUAAGGUAGCGAAAUUCCUUGUCGGGUAAGUUCCGACCUGCACGAAUGGUGUAACGAUCUGGGCACUGUCUCGGCCACGAGCUCGGUGAAAUUGUAGUAGCGGUGAAGAUGCCGCUUACCCGCAACGGGACGAAAAGACCCCAUGAACCUUUACUAUAGCUUCACAUUGACAUUGGGUAAAAUAUGUGUAGGAUAGGUGGGAGACUUCGAAGCUGUGUCGCCAGGCAUGGUGGAGUC